rnacentral:piRNA from 1 species
UAAGAAAAAUUAAAAUUCGGA